rnacentral:rRNA from 1 species
UACGUAGGGGGCAAGCGUUGUCCGGAAUCAUUGGGCGUAAAGAGCGUGUAGGCGGUUCGAUAAGUCGGCUGUGAAAGUCCAGGGCUCAACCCUGGGAUGCCGGUCGAAACUGUCGGACUAGAGUUCGGAAGAGGCGAGUGGAAUUCCCGGUGUAGCGGUGAAAUGCGCAGAUAUCGGGAGGAACACCAAUGGCGAAGGCAGCUCGCUGGGCCGAUACUGACGCUGAGGAGCGAAAGCGUGGGGAGCGAACAGG